rnacentral:rRNA from 1 species
CCUACGGGUGGCAGCAGUGGGGAAUAUUGCACAAUGGGGGAAACCCUGAUGCAGCGACGCCGCGUGAGUGAAGAAGUAUCUCGGUACGUAAAGCUCUAUCAGCAGGGAAGAAAAUGACGGUACCUGACUAAGAAGCCCCGGCUAACUACGUGCCAGCAGCCGCGGUAAUACGUAGGGGGCAAGCGUUAUCCGGAUUUACUGGGUGUAAAGGGAGCGUAGACGGCAGGACAAGUCUGGAGUGAAAUCCCGGGGCUUAACCGCGGAACUGCUUUGGAAACUGUGCGGCUGGAGUGCAGGCGUGGUAAGCGGAAUUCCUGGUGUAGCGGUGAAAUGCUUAGAUAUUAGGAAGAACACCGGUUGCGAAGGCGGCUUACUAGACUGUAACUGACGUUGAGGCUCGAAAGCGUGGGGAGCAAACAGGAUUAGAUACCCGUGUAGUC